AUGCCGUCCUUGAGCCCCCACCGCGCCUGCGUGUGGUGCUGGGGGUCAGGCUACAGCACCAGAGCACACGCUUGCGCAUAACUGAAGCCAUCUGUCCCCAACAGCGGUGGCCCUUUUAAACAGGUUGCUAGUGACACAG
ensembl:snoRNA